rfam:Ovis aries breed Texel chromosome 3, whole genome shotgun sequence.
ACAAAGGUGCUUUUUAGCACCAUUACUAUUCUGUAACUUUAUGACU